rnacentral:lncRNA from 1 species
UGGGUACCAGGAGGACUGAGCGCGCACAGAUAGGACCAGACGCACAGGUGGGAGACAAUCAUCAUUCCCUUGGUCCCCCCUCGUUGUACACGGAGGUUAUUUCCGGGCCUGUGGCACAGCUUUCAUGGGCUCAUGUCCCCAUCUGCAGACAUCUAACCAGACGCCCCAUCUCAGGCGUCCCUGCUGUCCUGUUCACAGCCCCUGAUGAUGCUCGCCUUCUGCACAGCCACGUGGGGGCAGCAGCUCCCCACCACCUCCGCGCCGACACCCACCCCGGCCGCGGCUGCCUCCCGUCCUCUCCAGGCCCAAGACCCGGGGGCCAAUCCCGUCUCCAUCCCUCGGUGUUAGGCCCAGCCAAGAUCUCCCCGAGGAGCAGCCCCACUGAGCCUUGCUUCCCGCCGGUCACUGCAGCGGCCCCUGUGGCCCCCGUGGGUGACCCUCCCUCCCUGCCGACAGACUGACCUACAGGUCUGGGCGUGAGGCGGUCCCCUUGCCUACCGCCCCUGAUCUGUCCCUGGUGCCCGCCGUCUCAGGAGUGCCUCCUAGUGACAGCCAACUCCUGCGACAGGGUUCCAGCUACCUGCCAAUCAGAUGCCCGGCUCUUCAGGUCCAGAGGCCUGCUGCCGCCCGAUGCUACAGAGAACAUUUUGGACACCACUCUUUGCCCACAUUCUGUCCUUAGAGUACUUCUCUAAAACUGAAAUUGGUUUAUAAUAGGAAAUAAAG